rnacentral:lncRNA from 1 species
GUGUGACUGACAGUAAACAUACUUUCUUAUUCCCUUUAAACAAAACCUUUAAUAAUACAAAUACCCUCUCUUUACCUUUCCUUCUGUGUUUCUGUAGCAACUUCAUCGGAUCUGGGCAUCUAGAUUGUAGAUGUGGAUGGAAAACUUCCGAAUAACAAGAUCUGUCUUGGGGAGUUGCUUCCUGAGCUCCACAGCUUGCCUUCUACAGUUGCAGUCUCUGGUUGUCUUCUGCACAAAGACCUGCAGACCUCAGAGCUGGGUCCCGGGAAACAGGUGUGACCAAGCUCAUGGAUGUGGGGACAUUCAUGUUCUCCAUAGUUAUUUGGCAGCAGAGACUGUGAAUGGGAUAGUGGAAUAGCAUCCAUCUAUUUGGAGCUGUGCUCCUGGGCUGCAGUUGGCCCCACCACGCAGCAGCUGGAAGUGCAGGGUUUUGUAAUGGAAACCCUGCCAGUCCCUCAACCAUUGCAGUGCUGGGGAGCGGUGUGAUGAUAUAGUAAAUAAGGUGAGUGGGCUCAGCUUAUCUCAUUCCACAACUGAGCUGUGUAUUGCCAGAUAAAUCAGAUCAGGGUAAACGGCUUCAUCUAAUAAACCAGGUCAACAUAUAAUGUAUUUGUUCAGGUUCGCACUUUUAUUGAUUCUCAUUUGAUUUAAGAAGAGAUAUUUCAGGUCAUGUUUGUACAGUUUUAGUAUUCAUCCCUCUUUCUGCUAAAGGAGAGGGGCUGAGAUGCAGGAACACACAGCGGGGAUUUCUUUUUUCCUUUAAAUAAAUUAAGUUUUUGAUUCUUGUAAGUCCUUCAGCUUUCCAUCUUUAGGCAUAGUAGCGGGGGGAGGGUGGUGGCAGGACCGCUUGGGGAGAAAGCCAAGAGGUAGAAGGAAAAAAAUCUUUCCAUAUCUGCAUCUGCAUCUCCCAAUAAUGUUUUAGUGAUGUUUGCUAAUGUAUCAUUCAUUAACCAUCAGCCACUAUAAAAAACAUAAUCUAUCUCGCAAAGUGGACAUUAUUAUCGCAUUAAAUCAUUUCACAAUAUACCUGAACGGUUCCACAUGAG